rnacentral:piRNA from 1 species
AUGAUUUCUGUGUCUGUUAUGGUGAU